rnacentral:snoRNA from 1 species
CCUACCCUUAGAGGCAUCGGAGGUGGGCUGAUAUGGCACAUGUGUCAGUAGGUGGCAGAGAGGAGGGACAGACCACGCCCAGGAUGACCCUGCCCAGCACC